rfam:Bacteroides sp. 43_108 Ley3_66761_scaffold_307, whole genome shotgun sequence.
GGGGCGUUAAAGCGCUCCAAAAUCAGUGUGUAGAUAGUGUAUCCUAUUGGCUGGGAACACGGUCUGUGAAUC